GCGGCAAGCGUUGUUCGGAAUUAUUGGGCGUAAAGAGCACGUAGGCGGCCUUGCAAGUCAGUUGUGAAAGCCUUCCGCUUAACGGAAGAACGGCAUCUGAUACUACAGGGCUUGAGUACGGGAGGGGAGAGUGGAACUUCUGGUGGAGCGGUGAAAUGCGUAGAUAUCAGAAGGAACGCCGGCGGCGAAAGCGACUCUCUGGUCCGAAACUGACGCUGAGUGUGCGAAGCUAGGGGAGCAAACGGGAUUAGAUACCCCGGUAGUCCUAGCCGUAAACGAUGGGCACUAAGUAGAGGGGUUUUGAUUAUUUCUCUGCCGGAGCUAACGCAUUAAGUGCCCCGCCUGGGGAGUACGGCCGCAAGGCUAAAACUCAAAAGAAUUGACGGGGGCUCGCACAAGCGGUGGAGCAUGUGGCUUAAUUCGAUGCAACGCGAAGAACCUUACCGGGGCUUGACAUGGUAGAAGUAGAAUCCUGAAAGGGUGACGAUCGGUAUCCAGUCCGAAGCUAUCACAGGUGUUGCAUGGCUGUCGUCAGCUCGUGUCGUGAGACGUUGGGUUAAGUCCCCUAACGAGCGAAACCCUUGUCUUUAGUUGCUAACGGGUAAUGCUGAGCACUUUAGAGAGACUGCCGUCGUUAAGACGGAGGAAGGUGGGGACGACGUCAAGUCAUCAUGGCCCUUAUGUCCCGGGCUGCACACGUGCUACAAUGGUCGGUACAAAGGGAUGCUAAGUCGCGAGAUGGUGCGAAACCUAUAAAGCCGAUCUCAGUUCAGAUUGGAGGCUGAAACUCGCCUCCAUGAAGUUGGAAUCGCUAGUAAUCGCGGAUCAGCUACGCCGCGGUGAAUAUGUUCCCGAGCCUUGUACACACCGCCCGUCAGCCACCCAAGCAAGAUGCACCCAAAAUCGCCUGCUA
rnacentral:rRNA from 1 species